GGAUAGUAUGGCUAAAGGCUUCCAAGAAAAUCCCCUAAACCUCAGAUAAAAGCAACCCGUACCAAAACCGACACAGGUAGUCAAGGAGAGAAUCCUAAGGUGUUCGAGUGAAUCACGGCUAAGGAACUAGGCAAAAUAUACCUGUAACUUAGGGAGAAAGGUAGCCUUAUAACUUAAGUUAGAGAGUUAGAAGGCCGCAGUGAAGAGAUCCAGACGACUGUUUAACAAAAACAUAGGGCUCUGCUAAAUCGAAAGAUGACGUAUAGNGCCUGAGACCUGCCCGGCGNUGGAAGGUUAAGGAAGGAGGUAAACUUUUGUGAAGCCUACGACUGAAGCCCCAGCAAACGGCGGCUGUAACUAUGACGGUCCUAAGGUAGCGAAAUUCCUUGUCGGGUAAGUUCCUACUUGCACGAAU
rnacentral:rRNA from 1 species